AGUAUGAGGCCCUCGGUUGUAUUCGAGUAGCCCAAAGUCUACCUGAUCAUAUUCAGUUUUCACAUCCCCCUGUCCCCCACUCCAUCGGGUUCAGAAAUGACGGCCGAUUUGUCCACCUCCGCCCACCUCUCCUCUCCCUCGCCGGCGUGACAAAUCCCUCCUCUCCCCUCUGAGGUCGCUGGCGGCAUGAAGGAGCUCGGCGUCCUUUUUUUCCGGAGGAGUAUGGUAGCUCGGAGGAGCACCUCGGCGCGUGCGUUCUCCUCUCCCUCAGGUGUCCUCCUACGUGCUCCACUACCACCACCGGCCGGUGCGCCGCCGCGGCCGCUACAAGCCAUGCGUGGGCCUUCCCCUCCCCCUGAUUUCGCCUCCUCCCGCGCCCAGCGCCCAUCUGUUGUUGUACGGAUGGACGUCCUGCUGGUGGCCGCCGCCAAAGGCAGCGCCCUUCCGCGUCGCCUUCUUGGCCCGCGCGCUGGUGUUGGCGUCGCGGUGUGCAGUAUCUUGAUGUUGUCGCGCCUUCUGUUCGUGGUGGGAGUUCUGCUUCUUCCGGUGGUUUCAGCUUGGAGAAAUUCGAGGACCGCCCAAUCGACAAAGUUUAGAGAACAGCAAAGCAAGCUACCUUGGUGAAAGAUGUGUUGAAGUCGUGAGUGAAAAAUUCUUGUGCGUCUUGCACGCAUCUAGAACUACGGAGAUUGGGAAACAUGCAAAAAAUUAUAGGAACUGGAUUUUGUUGUUGUCCCCGUGAGUUUUACAGGAUCAUCAUAAAAAGGUAGACACAAUGAAUUGCGCCAAAAUAAUAUUAAUCUAAGCAUCCAGAGCCAACCAAGUUCCGAGCUUCCUCAGAAGACACAAUGUUCAAAUCUUCCUGGCCAUGUUGACAGAUAGGGCAAGCAUUGCAGAAAAGGUGAUUUUAUAAGCUUGCUAAUGAAGAGUCAACUGCUAUCUGUGUAAAUAAAAAAUUCAGCCUUGGUCGGUAUAAGGCAGGGAAACAUAAUGGAGGAUUGGAGCCUAUGUGCCAACAACUCGCAUAUAUCAGUUCACAGAACAAUUGAAGGAAGGCUCAAUAUAUAUAUUUGAGAUGUUUAUCGUUGCUGAAGCAUGAAGAAAGUACAAAAUAUCAGGCAAUCUAUACAGAAUCGAGAUUGCUGAACACAAAAAGAUCCAUGAGAUUACUCUGCAUCCUGACAAUUUGGGGAGUUUGCAUAUAAUGCACAACCAUUUGGGGUUCCAGCGGCACGAAUGGGAAACAAUACUCUUGUGUCAGGUUUUUAUCUUACAUCACAUGUAAUUUAUUGUCUAUUUCAUUCCCAUAUUUUGAUCACUACGCAAUAUCCUGUCACUGUGAGAAGAAAUACUAAGAGGAAAUGGUAAUUGGUGAGGUCAUGUCAUCGGUUCCUGUAGAGUAAGCAAAGAGGCAAUCUUAGUUGUGGACAGCACCACAGGUCGAGCAGAUUAUACUCAAACUGCCAUAGAUGCCAUAUUGGAUAAAUAAUGUGUUUUGGUGACCGAUAUAACACAAAACUCUCUAGGAGCUGGGAGCAUUACUUCCAUGUUUUGUGAUCUUUGAGGUGAUCAUCGAUUCCCAUCCAACAGUUGGACCCGUAGCAGCUCUAUGCCACCUCCUACUUUAGCCCAAAAAAAAUGAACAAUCUCCAUUAGCUGAUCUAUCCAAUGACACUUCAAAACUACUAGAAGAUGAAAAAUCCCAGAAGCUACUUACAUUCACGAAAGAUGUCAUGGAGAUAUUCCAUUGCCCGUUCUAGAGUUCAUACUAUCGUAGUACAAUUGAUGAAACUAUAGAUUUUGUGGAGUUAUCGGUCUCACUUCUGAAUCCUCUGAUGUGUUCAUCGAUUAUGCAUAAUGUUUGGCUCAUAUGAGUACUUCUUGUUUCUUCUAUGUUAAUGUUGGAAAUGCAAGUGUUUCGCUGCAUAUUAAUUUCCAGUCAGCCUGUGAACUUUAAUUUAGGCAAGUAAUUAUUCAAAACUUUACUUGUGGUUUUUUGUUUUGGCUGAUACAAUAGAAUUUAAUUCAGUAUGCAAAUAUACUGGGGUAUUUGUGUUCAUCAAUUGGAGUUUCCUUCAGUUUCCGGUUAUUGUCAUUGCUCCUGGUUUCAGCCGUUACAUGCCAACACUCCUCCUGAAUGUUCCGUUUCCUACAGCAUACCAGCCUAUCUACUCCUACCUUUUCUCUUUAAGUUUGUAACCUAGAUUUUAGGGAGCACCAUGGAGAAACCAAACAUCACACAUCACCGACAACAUUUCAAUUUUCAGAUAUAACAGAAAAAACCGCCACACGAAGGUGACUAGUUAGCAUUUCAUGAUUGAUUACAUGUUAACUAUUGGAUAUGUUAGUUUUCCUUGCAGCCUGGAAUGAUUUUUGUCCAGAAACAACUAUUUAUGCAAGAGAUGGGCUGAAGGAGACUUCUUUAUCUCAGGAUUAGCUUUACUUAUUCAAGACGUUCUCCGGUUACAUUCAUUCAAGAUGUUCUCCGGAUAAAGUGUGUAUGAUUUCUUGAAUCAUGGAUUUUUAUUGUUUCGUUUAUGUUCAAUGGUGCAAUGAAAUUUGAGAUGGAUAA